GCCAACUGCACCAGCUAGCAACGCUUGAUUGUACCACAUUGAUCUUCCCCGCCAACUUCAGAGUGUGUCCCUCCAUCGGCGAUGAUCUAAGCUUGCGUCUGCAGCGGUAUGAUCCAGCCCAACUGCAGCGACGCCUUCAGUCCUUUGCUUUCAUAUAUUGCCAGAUCUGAGACCAUCCUCAGAAUCAGUACCAUUGCUCUCACAUUGCUGCAGCGGAUACUCUGAACAAUACCAUUGCUUGCUGGAUCGUUCUCUCAUCAGAAGUCUACUCAGAAUCAGUACCAUCCUUCUCUCAUAUUUAACUUGUUCCCGCUUCUCAUUUAUCUGAGAAAAAAUCAGGGAAACAAAAGCCGGACCUCUCCAAUCAUUAGCUCUGAACGGAAAAAUACUUAUGGAAGGGUACAUUUAUUAUGCAGUGAUCACGAAGAUAAUACACAACGGAUACCAGAAGGAAAUAAAGGCUUAUAGGGUGUAUCUGAAUAUUAUGCGCAGGUGGCACCUAAGAUAGUUGACGCAAAAUAGUGGUAACAGAAAGUAGUAGGUGCUGCACCAAAAAUCAAAGCAAAAAGCACACCGACCAAAUCCAAUGAGGUGAACAAACAAAAUGGGAGUAUAAAUGAUGUGCAGAAUGUUUCAACUCGUUUUUACCUGGUAACAAUUUGGGCCGUCACCAACCAGACAGGUAUUCACUCUUCUUAUAUCUGCCGCAUCUACCGUUCUGAUCCUCGACGCCAACCUAUUAAGACGACAGGUAUAAACUAUGCACAAUAUAUUCACUUGUUAAAUUGAUUUUUUGACAGGGCAACAGAUGAAUCGCUAGUUGAGAACUGCUCUAAUUCAUUCGACCAACUUCCGUUUGUGCUAGAGGGCACAGUCCAAGGCAGGCCAAGCUAUAUGGAAGUGAUAUCCAAGAUAUCAGCUUCAGAAAAAUAUUCCAACAGUAUGCCACCAUGUUAACAAAUCAAACUUUUAGUCGGGAGAAAACAAACUCACUGGUUACUUUUGAAAUUUAAUACACUGUUACUUUUAUCAGGCAGUGCACAAUUGCCUUCUGCAAGCAACAGCAUAGUAUUGGCAGCUUCCUUGUAAGGUUAUCAACAAAUACCUUCUCCCUCACCAUUGUUCAGCUAUAGUAGCCCAGCCAAUUCAACAUCUCAGGGUUCAGAAAUCAAGUUGUCAGUUACAUCGAGCAUUAGCCACGACAAAGCCACCAUUCAG
rnacentral:lncRNA from 1 species